UACAGAGGUCCCGAGCGUUGUUCGGAGUUACUGGGCGUAAAGAGUGCGUAGGCGGUUUUCUAAGUUUGGUGUGAAAUCUCCCGGCUUAACUGGGAGGGUGCGCCGAAGACUGGAAGACUUGAGUAUGGGAGAGGUAAGCGGAAUUCCUGGUGUAGCGGUGAAAUGCGUAGAUAUCAGGAGGAACACCUGCGGUGUAGACGGCUUACUGGACCAUAACUGACGCUGAGGCACGAAAGCGUGGGUAGCAAACAGG
rnacentral:rRNA from 1 species